rnacentral:tRNA from 1 species
GGAGAGAUGGCAGAGCGGUUUAAUGCACCGGUCUUGAAAACCGACGUAGGUAACACUACCGGGGGUUCGAAUCCCUCUCUCUCCGCCA